rnacentral:rRNA from 1 species
UACGGAGGAUCCAAGCGUUAUCCGGAUUUAUUGGGUUUAAAGGGUCCGUAGGCGGAUCUUUAAGUCAGUGGUGAAAGCCUACAGCUCAACUGUAGAACUGCCAUUGAUACUGUAAGUCUUGAAUUCGGUCGAAGUGGGCGGAAUGUGUAGUGUAGCGGUGAAAUGCAUAGAUAUUACACAGAACACCGAUAGCGAAGGCAGCUCACUAGGCCUGGAUUGACGCUCAGGGACGAAAGCGUGGGGAUCAAACAGGAUUAGAUACCCUGGUAGUCCACGCUGUAAACGAUGAUUACUCGUUUUCGGCGAUAUACAGUCGGAGACUAAGCGAAAGUGAUAAGUAAUCCACCUGGGGAGUACGAUCGCAAGGUUG